rnacentral:rRNA from 1 species
CUGCCAGGACUAACAAAUGCGAAGGCAUCUGUCCAGACCGUAUCCAUUAAUCAAGAACGAUAGUGAGAGGUUCGAAGACGAUCAGAUACCGUCCUAGUUCUCACCGUAAACUAUGCCGACCCGGGAUCAGUUUGGAGUAAAAUAUAAACGCUCGAGGUUGGUCCCCCUGGGAAACCUAAAGUUUUUCGGUUGCGGGGGGAGUAUGGUCGCAAGGCUGAAACUUAAAGGAAUUGACGGAAGGGCACCACCAGGGGUGGAGCCUGCGGCUUAAUUUGACUCAACACGGGAAAACUUACUUGGUCCUGACAUCAGCAGGAUAAUCAGACCGACAGAUCUUAUUUGAUUUGAUGAUUGGUGGUGCAUGGCCGUUCUUAGUUCGUGGAGUGAUUUGUCAGGUUAAUUCCGGUAACGGACGAGAUCACAUUCUCCAUUUGACGAGCUAGAGUAGAUGUUGAUUCACAAGUGUAUGUGGUAAAACAUGUGCAUUUGUGACCGUUGGCAUUGUAGGCAGUUGGUUGGAUGCGUUGCGUUGUUGCAUUGGUGGAAACAUUGGUGUGGCAAUGUC